UAUCACUGUACUGUAAGUAUUUAGUGGUUAGUGACACGGUAACGACUGGCAAUCUGUUUAUGCAAAGCCCAAAAAACCAUAACCGUCGAAUCAAGCACACAUUUUUACCAAGAUCCCAUAAAAACCCAAUAAUCCAAAAGCAAAAUUGGUGGCUGAAAUCAAGUAAACCGUGAACCCUUUUUGUAGAUAGAAGGCAAAAUCACUUUCUUGUGUUUUUGUGGGGUUUAUAAAGGGAGGAAAUAUAGGAGUCUGCGUGUUAAAACCAGCUGCCGCAGCAGCAGCAGCCUGGGAGGAGGUAGUGGUGAGGAGAGUAUCGCCACCGCCACAAUCACCGGCGCCGGCAGCGGCAGUAGCGACAAAGGGACAUUCUGGGCUGUUGAGUAAUUCGAAAUCGGGACAUCCAGUGCUGUUGAGUUCGAAAUCGGGGCAGUUAGUGAGUGAUUCGAAGAGGAUGAAGGGACUUUUCAAGUCAAAGCCGAGGACUCCUGUCGAUAUAGUUAGACAGACUCGCGAUCUUUUAAUCUAUGCUGAUCAGAGUGAGAAGGAAUGGACUGACGAAGUUAUCUUUUGAAAACAUGACAUUGGAGAUAAAUGCUUUUAACAUUUGCAAGCAACCUGGAGAUGAUAAUGAUUUCCAAGAAGUAGAUCUUAUUUAAGAAUUAGUUUAUGAUCAAUUUGAAACUAUUUUGAGUAAAA